AGUGAACGCUGGCGGUAGGCCUAACACAUGCAAGUCGAACGGCAGCACAGUAAGAGCUUGCUCUUACGGGUGGCGAGUGGCGGACGGGUGAGGAAUACAUCGGAAUCUACUUUUUCGUGGGGGAUAACGUAGGGAAACUUACGCUAAUACCGCAUACGACCUACGGGUGAAAGCAGGGGAUCUUCGGACCUUGCGCGAUUGAAUGAGCCGAUGUCGGAUUAGCUAGUUGGCGGGGUAAAGGCCCACCAAGGCGACGAUCCGUAGCUGGUCUGAGAGGAUGAUCAGCCACACUGGAACUGAGACACGGUCCAGACUCCUACGGGAGGCAGAAGGGGGGAAUAUGGGAAAAGGGGCGAAAGCCUGAUCCAGCCAUACCGCGUGGGUGAAGAAGGCCUUCGGGUUGUAAAGCCUUUUUGUUGGGAAAAAAAAGCAGCAGGUUAAUACCCCGCUGUUCUGACGGGACCCAAAGAAUAAGCACCGGCUAAUUUCGG
rnacentral:rRNA from 1 species